rnacentral:rRNA from 1 species
UACAGAGGGGGCAAGCGUUAUUCGGAAUUAUUGGGCGUAAAGGGCGCGUAGGCGGCUUGGCAAGUGGAAGGUGAAAUCCCUCGGCUUAACCGAGGAACUGCCCUCCAAACUGCUUUGCUUGAAUCCGGGAGAGGUGAGUGGAAUUCCGAGUGUAGAGGUGAAAUUCGUAGAUAUUCGGAAGAACACCAGUGGCGAAGGCGGCUCACUGGACCGGUAUUGACGCUGAGGUGCGAAAGCGUGGGGAGCAAACAGG